CUUGCUAGUAUGUCAGCUAAGUGGCGGACGGGUGAGUAAUGUAUAGUUAAUCUGCCCUUCAGAGAGGGAUAACAGUUAGAAAUGACUGCUAAUACCUCAUACUCCUUUUGCCUUAAUGGUAAUUGGGAAAUGUUUUUUCGCUGAAGGAUGAGACUAUAUGGUAUCAGGUAGUUGGUGGGGUAAGAGCCUACCAAGCCAAUGACACCUAGCUGGUCUGAGAGGAUGAUCAGCCACACUGGAACUGAGACACGGUCCAGACUCCUACGGGAGGCAGCAGUGGGGAAUAUUGCACAAUGGGGGAAACCCUGAUGCAGCAACGCCGCGUGGAGGAUGACACAUUUCGGUGCGUAAACUCCUUUUAUAUGGGAAGAUAAUGACGGUACCAUAUGAAUAAGCACCGGCUAACUCCGUGCCAGCAGCCGCGGUAAUACGGAGGGUGCAAGUGUUACUCGGAAUCACUGGGCGUAAAGCGCGCGCAGGCGGUCUUUUAAGUUGGAUGUGAAAGCCUACGGCUCAACCGUAG
rnacentral:rRNA from 1 species